UAUCAAAAACAGUUUCAGACCUGACAGUUUCCCCCAGUGCAUAUCAAAUGUAAGAUUCACCCCACCAUAAAAACUAGAGAGGCAAAAGUACUGUAUCAAUUCCCAUUUGUUCAUUUGUUCCUUCAAAUAAAUGAGUUCUAACUCUGUCCCAGCCCCCACGUGUGCAAUGAUGAGUAAAAGUAUACUUCUCUGCACUGGCAGAGCCCAGACUGGAGAGUCUAUAAAAUCAAAUAAUGCUAAUCUUUUAAACUGAAGCUGAGGUGCUUUGAGAGCAUAUGAUAGCAGGAUUUGUCCUGGGGAACAGACCACUGAGUUGAUAUUUGAAGGAUUAGGAGCUAAUCCUAGGAAAGAGAGCAAAGAGUUUGUUGUGUGCAAGGCCCAGGGGUAGCAGGAGAACGGCAAGUACUGUUUAGGAAGAAGGUCAACAUAUAAUAGGUGGGAAAUAAGAGGACGCAUGUAGAUGCAGAUGGAAUUGGGGAGGUAAGGGCCAGAUCACAGAGUUGUGUAGGUUAUGUAAAGAAAU
rnacentral:lncRNA from 1 species